AAGAAGAGACAGGAGAAGAAGAAGAAGCAGGAGAAAAGAAAAUAGCUCUUUUGUGUUUGCUAUUUUUUGGUGUUUGUAAAUUCAAUGAAUCUUCUUCUUUCUCUCUCUUUCUUCCUUUUCCUCUUGGUUUCUCUUCAUCUU
rnacentral:ribozyme from 13 species